CUUAUACUCUGAGCCCUGCUCGGUUUAGGCCUGUCUGCAGAAUCCGCACCAACCAGCACCAUGCCCAUGACACUGGGGUACUGGGACAUCCGCGGGCUCCUGACUAUGACAGAAGCCAGUGGCUGAAUGAAAAAUUCAAGCUGGGCCUGGACUUUCCCAAUCUGCCCUACUUGAUUGAUGGGGCUCACAAGAUCACCCAGAGCAACGCCAUCUUGUGCUACAUUGCCCGCAAGCACAAUCUGUGUGGGGAGACAGAAGAGGAGAAGAUUCGUGUGGACAUUUUGGAGAACCAGACCAUGGACAACCACAUGCAGCUGGGCAUGAUCUGCUACAAUCCAGAAUUUGAAAAGUGUAACGUUGGUUGGAGCUCGAGAAGGAAUCUGGAUACUGUGUGCCGGACCAGCCAAAGAAUCCUGUGUCAAAACCGAGAGAACGAAUAAGCCUUCAUCACCAUGGCACAUUUAUAUAAAAAGAAAGGGAGAGAUGUUGCGGGAAGUCAGGGACCCCGAAUGGAGGGACUGACUGGAGCCGCGGCAGAGGAACAUAAAUUGCAAAUAUUUCAUUUUAAUAUGGACAUUUAUCAGUUCCCAAAUUAUUACUUUUUACAUUUCUUACGCCUGUCUUACUUUAAUCUCUUAAUCCUGUUAUCUUCAUAAGCUGAGGAUAUAUGUCAUCUCAGGACCACUGUGAUAAUUGUGUUAACUGUACAGAUUGAUUGUAAAACAUGUGUGUUUGAACAAUAUGAAAUCAGUGCACCUUGAAGAAGAACAGAAUAACAGUGAUUUUUAGGGAACAAGAGAAGACAACCAUAAGGUCUGACUGCGUGCAGGGUCAGGCAAAAUAGAGCCAUAUUUUUCUUCUUGCAGGGAGCCUAUAAAUAGACAUGGAAGUAGGGAAGAUAUU
rnacentral:sRNA from 1 species